GACGGAGGAUGCAAGCGUUAUCCGGAAUUAUUGGGCGUAAAGCGUCCGCAGGUGGACAUACAAGUCUGCUGUCAAAGUGCAGAGCUUAACUCUGUAAAGGCGGUGGAAACUGUAGGUCUUGAGUAUGGUAGGGGUAGAGGGAAUUCCAGGUGUAGCGGUGAAAUGCGUAGAUAUCUGGAGGAACACCGGUGGCGAAGGCGGCAUUCUGGACCGAUAUUGACGCUGAGGAGCGAAAGCCAGGGGAGCAAACGGG
rnacentral:rRNA from 1 species